AUUUACUUCCUCUGGCCCACUUUGUUUCCUUGCCUCUAUUCUGAAGACCUGAAAUGAACAGUAGUGAUGUCCUUGUUGUUUUUUAACAUUUAUGAUUAAAGAAACAGGCCUGUGUAAACUCUCCAGUCUUCAUGGUUUUGAGGACAGAGGCUUCUUGCUCAUUUGUUGUAGAGGAGGCUAUAAAACCACAAGAUAAAAAUACUUAACAGCCAACUAGCAUCUGCAACAUAAACAGGUUAAUUUCAGCUGAAGUUUCCUGAUCUAACUGGUCAUGUGGUUUCAUGGCUGCUCACUCUCAGAGAUGCAGUAAGAUCACACACCUGAACAAUGGCAAAGCUGCUCCUUUCAGCCACAGCAUCUCUGCACGCUAGCCAACGUUUUCAGGAAGCCUAAGUUUCAACAGUGCAUCUCCAGAGAUUGUGCUUGGGCACGUCUCAGGGCAUGGUAGAAGCCACCAGCUCAUUCCCAGCAGUCAGGAAGGAUGAGGCCAUCCCAGACAAGUGACUGUCUCGCUGCGUGGAUUGGAUCUGUGCUAUGUAUGCCAUUUGCUGACCCGGCCAUAGAAUGGGUGCCAGCCCUGAUUAGUUUCCUAGUAGAUGUGUAGCCUCUGAUACCAUGCUGAAAUGGAAGUUGCUGUACUCAGGCUGUGAGGAAAGCUUCUGCUGAUAGGUAUGGUGUGCUCAUCCUCCUGGGAAACUGGCCUGCAAGUGGUGCUGCGAUGACCCCUGUAGCCAAGGAAAGAGAAGUGAAUGGCUCAGCCAGAUGCUCCCAAACCUAUCCUGAAGAUGCUGACUGUCUAUGAUUACAGGAUACCUUGGCACUGUCAAGAUACAAAGUUUCAACAAACAGGUUUGAUUUAUUAACAUCUGCAGUAGCAAGUAUUUAGUGAGUGUCAGCAAACAGAAGUCUGUCAGAAGGAGCACAGCGGACAAUGACUUGUUGCACAAUGGGAGUUGGAAUCCAAUGGGAACAGGCUUUUCUUAAUAGCAGUCUGUCAGAACUCUCUGUGGUGUGCUAAGCACAAGUUGUGCAUUCCAAAACUUCUUUUUUAAUAACCAAUGAGAGCAUUAAGUGUAAGAGAAGUCUCACCUCUUCUGAAGUACCUCAAUUUAUCUCCUGUCUGAAUCACAGUGAAAAAUAACAUUGCUAUGAUAGUAUGAUUGCAAAAAAAGAUGCCAAACUUCUCAAAUUAAAUUGAACUCAGCCUGUCAGUUAUUCUUUAUAGUUUUACAAAGGAUCACCUUUUAAAUACCAACCAUGAAAUAAGGUGUCUUAUUUCAGAGAUACAUUGCUGCAUUUAUAGCAUCUGACUUACAAAUGCUAGUCGUGGGCAUGUCAGCAGAACUGCUUGUCCCAGUACUAGUUACAGCUGUGGACUAUUCAGCUGCCAGCCCUGACGCAGCACUCUGUACUGCCUUAAAAUCAGUCAAAAAUCUCCUGUAAUAUCUCAGGGAUGCCUCUUCAAUUGCUAGGCUUCUAAUUCAACCUGAUUUCAAUACUAUUUGAAAAAUAAAUAGUUCAUACAGUUUAAAAAUACUAUGGCUAUAGUCCAAAGCUAUACAACUUUCCUACUCCGCACCCACAUGGUAAUAUUUUAGUACUUCACAUUCCUUUAUGUGAUACUCUCUAUCAGUGUACAAAGAGUCAGGGCACAAAUCUCCAGGUGUAAAUAUCAUUUCCUCCAUCUGAAAGGAUCAUUCUGCUGGAAGAAAAUUUGAAACCCUUGUAGUCUCAGAACCUUCCCAUUCCAAACCCAAACUGCUAAUCAUGCCUGACAGACCACAAAGUGUUAUGUUCACUUGUGUUUUCAAAACCGCCUAAAUCUUAAUUUUCUAAUUGAAUUUGUAAUUACUUGUCUUGUAAUUAUUACAGUAAGAAUCUCUCUAACGAUUUGAUCGAUCAUAACAGAAGUGCAGAUACCAUGUAAAUCUUAUCGAGAUCAUCAAAUAAUGGGAUUUUUGUUUACAAGGUGUCGAUUGGUUUUAGAAGCUUUGAUAAUGACUCCAGACAGUCAAUAAAUACGGAGACUUUUACAUUGCCGGUAGGAGCCAAACUGAACUAUCUAAUCUUUUUAAAAUGACAGACAACACAAUGAACUCUAAACUUAAUCCCCUCCAAACACUAAGGAGACAGUUUAGUGCUUAAAGUACUAUUCAGACUCAAAACCUACAUUUAAAAAAAUCAUUAAGCAUCGGAGUUAAAUACACAAACCAGGGAAAUUCAGAGUGAAGGCCACAGCUCUGGAGUGGUUUUCCUUUCCAUGGCUCCUGCUCUGUCUGUGGUGGGCUGUGAGCCUGCCAGCGGCUCCUGCAGGGCAAGGAAAACACCUGCAGGUCUUUUGAAAACAAGUUUGUAGUUGAAGAA